rnacentral:rRNA from 1 species
UAUUAUGUAUUAUGUAAAUGAAAAUGUAUUGGGGUAUUAGUAGAUAUGAUCUUGAAACCCAAAGAAUUUGGCGGUGUUUUAGUCCUUUCAGAGGAAUCUGUCCUGUAAUUGAUAAUACACGAUUUAUGAUACUUAGUUUUGUUGUCAGUUUAUAUACCGCCGUCGGUAAGAUUAUCUUGUAGAGAGUAUAAAAUUUCAUUAUAUUUUAUUAUAUAUUAUGUCAGGUCAAGGUGUAGCUAAUGGUUAAGUAGAGAUGGAUUACAAUAAAUUUAUUUAUAUGGAUAAUAAUUUGAAUAGUUUAUUUGAAGGUGGAUUUGAUUGUAAAUUAAUAUAAAUUAAUUAAUUGAUUUGGGCUCUAGAGUGUGUACAUAUCGCCCGUCGCUCUCGUUUUAAGAUGAG